rnacentral:rRNA from 1 species
UACGUAGGGACCGAGCGUUGUCCGGAUUCAUUGGGCGUAAAGGGUGCGUAGGUGGCGCUGUAAGUCGGGUGUGAAAUCCUGAGGCUUAACCUCGGAACUGCAUUCGAUACUGCGGCGCUUGAGGACUGGAGAGGAGACUGGAAUUCAUGGUGUAGCAGUGAAAUGCGUAGAGAUCAUGAGGAAGACCAGUGGCGAAGGCGGGUCUCUGGACAGUUCCUGACACUGAGGCACGAAGGCCAGGGGAGCAAACGGG